AGAGUUUGAUCAUGGCUCAGAACGAACGCUGGCGGCAGGCUUAACACAUGCAAGUCGAACGCCCCGCAAGGGGAGUGGCAGACGGGUGAGUAACGCGUGGGAAUCUACCUAGUUCUACGGAACAACAGUUGGAAACGACUGCUAAUACCGUAUACGCCCUAUGGGGGAAAGAUUUAUCGGAAUUAGAUGAGCCCGCGUAAGAUUAGCUAGUUGGUGGGGUAAUGGCCUACCAAGGCGACGAUCUUUAGCUGGUCUGAGAGGAUGAUCAGCCACACUGGGACUGAGACACGGCCCAGACUCCUACGGGAGGCAGCAGUGGGGAAUAUUGGACAAUGGGCGCAAGCCUGAUCCAGCCAUGCCGCGUGAGUGAUGAAGGCCUUAGGGUUGUAAAGCUCUUUCAGUGGGGAAGAUAAUGACGGUACCCACAGAAGAAGCCCCGGCUAACUUCGUGCCAGCCGCCGCGGUAAUUC
rnacentral:rRNA from 1 species